rnacentral:piRNA from 1 species
UUUAGGAGAAUUUUCAGUGUCAGCUAUGGAC